UACGGAGGGUGCAAGCGUUGUCCGGAAUCACUGGGCGUAAAGGGCGCGUAGGCGGCUCAUGAAGGCUGUGGUGAAAGUCCGGGGCUCAACCUCGGAUCGGCCGUGGCGACUCGUGGGCUGGAGCACUGUAGAGGCGGGUGGAAUUCCGGGUGUAGCGGUGGAAUGCGUAGAGAUCCGGAGGAACACCGAAGGCGAAGGCAGUGUCCUGGGGAGUACCUGACGCUCAGGUGCGAAAGCCAGGGGAGCGAACGGG
rnacentral:rRNA from 1 species